CCUCAGCAGAACAGGGGGAGGACCCUUAGGGGAUAUCUCUUCCUUCUGUAUGACAUCACUGAUGAGUAGAGUGUCCCCGCUGAUGGCUAGGCUUCCAAACCCUGUCCUUUGGUGAUGGUGGUUGGUAUUGCUUCAAAGGCACUUCCUCAAGGAUCCAGAGUGCCUACCUCGUGGGAAGCUCGGUUUUCUGAUGUCCUCCUGACUCCCCUGCUUUCCUGACGGCCUUCGCCCUAAGAGAAGCUGUGCGCGUCCCUGGGACCGUGGAAGCUUCGUGCUCUCCUCUGAUGGCAAGCAAGAGAUCACCGUAAAAGGCUUCUGCUUUGCUUAGCAUGGUGGACACUACCUGGAAGAACCUCAGGGGAUGGGGAGAAAUGAGCUGCCGCUCAGGCCUGAAGCAUGUGUUAUUUACUCGAAACCAACCAGUAUGGAUGUGGUAUCUUCCCCCACUCUGGGAGUCCAGUGGCAACAUGUGUAUUUCUACCACCUCCGUCAAGGAACAAGAAAGCAUCACGGGAUCUGAUGGGCUCUCGGACUGGGCCUUGGCCCGGGGACGAACACAGACAAUCUUUGCUUCGGGGAUGGUGAAGGUUUGGUGGCCGGUAUCUCACAAAUGAACCAGGCAAGCCCUUUUUGGAGGGAGCCAGGCUGGAAGAUGAGUCUAACGAAGGGGCCUGUGGGUGUAACGGCUUCUGUUAUCCAUCCGUAACCGACUCGCUACCUGGGGGCAUCCAGGCUGGCCUUCCAGCCCUGACUUGUUCCCAGCCCUGACUACGGAUUUCAAAGCAUUUGCCCCGGUGCAUCAUGGGUCCCCAUGGGCAAGGAUUUCAUGAGUGUGAGGCCCUUCCAGGCUAGUAGAUACAGAGGGAACUCUGCCCUGUUUGCCCUCUAUCCCUACAGCCUGAGCUCACAGACACACUUUCAGCACGCCUCGCCUUGACUGUGACCAUUAUCCACACGUAACUUGUAUAAUUAGCACCAAGAGUUGUACCAAGCUUUUCCAUCCUUUCCAGAAAACAGAGAUAAAGGUCCUCUGAAAUGUUCUCAUUGGGUUGAACCGCAUGCCUGAAAAUACCAACAUCUCCUGCUUAUUUAGAACUCCCAUUUCUUUGGAUGAAUAUAAAUUCCUCGAUAUGGUUGACAAUAUCCUUUACAGUCCAAGCCAGAGUAUCUGACAGGUCUCCUCUCUUCCACAUGCCCCCACUGUGGCCCCACAACCUAGAAUUUUCUUGGUUCUGCUGCCACAUCUCACUCUCCCAACCCCAGACCAUUUGCACAUGCAAUGGCAAAUUCCUCUGCCUAGAACAUUCUUCCCCAUUACUCUAUUUCAUAUGGCUAAAUUUAUACAUCGUCCAGGUUACGGUUACAUAUCACCUCCUCUAGAAAGCCUUCUCUAAUUCCCCAGGUCAGGAUGGCACAACACUCGACCACUCACUCAUUCAUUCAUUCAAUUUUUCAUUCAUUUACUCUUUCAAAAAUGAAUGGCUUCUGGGGUGCCUGGGUGGCUCAGUGGGUUAAGCCUCUGCCUUCGGCUCAGGUCAUGAUCUCAGGAUCCUGGGAUUGAGCCCCACAUUGGGCUUUCUGCUCAGCAGGAAGCCUGCUUCUCCCUUUCCCACUCCCCCUGCUUGUGUUCCCUCUCUCACUGUGUCUGUCAAAUAAAUAAAAUCUUUAAAAAAAAAAAAGUAAUUAAAGUUAAAAAAAAAAAAG